GACGUAGGUGGCGAACGUUAUCCGGAAUUAUUGGGCGUAAAGGAUGCGUAGAUGGUGUAGUAAGUUAUCGGUGGCAAAUCGAGGCUCAACCUCGUGGAAGCCGGUAAUACUGCUAUGCUAGAGGAUAGGAGAGGUUAACGGAACUCCCUGUGGAGCGGUGAAAUGCGUAGAUAUAGGGAAGAACACCAAUCAGGCGAAGGCAGUUAACUAUUCUAUUCCUGACAUUGAGGCAUGAAAGCGUGGGGAGCAAAACGG
rnacentral:rRNA from 1 species